rnacentral:sRNA from 1 species
CGGCCUGUGAUACAGACCUAUUUAUGUUCGAGUAUAGAGUUAAGCAGUUCCUCCAAAAACGUUAUCAUCUGAUUCCGCUUCAAAGACGAACCUUCUAAGUACCUCCCAUAAGUAAUGUUUCUAAAAACGGCCUAAAUUGCCUUAUGGCAGGUUUUGUAUAUAUAUUUAAAAGGUAAAUGUGUAAUGUCUAAGAAGACUGGUCAGGUGAAGUGGUUCAACGAAAGCAAAGGUUUUGGUUUUAUUGAACAGAACGACGGUGGAAAAGAUGUAUUCGUACAUUUCUCUGCAAUCGCGACCGACGGUUUCAAAACUCUGGCUGAAGGCCAGUGUGUUGAGUAUACCAUCCAGGACAGCCCGCGCGGGCCGGCUGCCGCUAACGUUGUUGCUCUGUAAGAAA